rnacentral:rRNA from 1 species
ACGUAGGAAAGACUAACAGGAUUCCCCUAGUAACUGCGAGUGAAGCGGGAAAAGCUCAAAUUUAAAAUCUGGCGGUCUUUGGCUGUCCGAGUUGUAGUCUGGAGAAGCGUUUUCCGCGCUGGACCGUGUACAAGUCCCUUGGAAUAGGGCGUCAUAGAGGGUGAGAAUCCCGUCUUUGACACGGACUACCAGUGCUUUGUGAUGCGCUCUCAAAGAGUCGAGUUGUUUGGGAAUGCAGCUCAAAAUGGGUGGUAAAUUCCAUCUAAAGCUAAAUAUUGGCGAGAGACCGAUAGCGAACAAGUACCGUGAGGGAAAGAUGAAAAGCACUUUGGAAAGAGAGUUAAACAGUACGUGAAAUUGCUAAAAGGGAAACGCUUGAAGUCAGUCGCGUUAUGCAGAACUCAGCCUGGCUUUUGCUUGGUGUAUUUUUUGUAUGACGGGCCAGCAUCAAUUUUGGCCGCUGGAAAAAGGCCUCAGAAAUGUGGCACCUUCGGGUGUGUUAUAGUCUGAGGUCAUAUACAGCGGCUGGGAUUGAGGUCUGCAGCACGCCUUUAUGGCUGGGGUUCGCCCACAUUCGUGCUUAGGAUGCUGGCGUAAUGGCUUUAAACGACCCGUCUUGAAACACGGACCAAGGAGUCUAACAUGCCUGCGAGUGUUUGGGUGGAAAACCCGAGCGCGCAAUGAAAGUGAAAGUUGAGAUCCCUGUCGUGGGGAGCAUCGACGCCCGGACCAGACCUUUUGUGACGGAUCUGCGGUAGAGCAUGUAUGUUGGGACCCGAAAGAUGGUGAACUAUGCCUGAAUAGGGUGAAGCCAGAGGAAACUCUGGUGGAGGCUCGUAGCGAUUCUGACGUGCAAAUCGAUCGUCAAAUUUGGGUAUAGGGGCGAAAGACUAAUCGAACCAUCUAGUAGCUGGUUCCUGCCGAAGUUUCCCUCAAGAUAGCAGAACUUCGUAUCAGAUUUAUGUGUUAAAGCGAAUGAUUAGAGGCCUUGGGGUUGAAACAACCUUAACCUAUUCUCAAACUUUAAAUAUGUAAGAACAAGCCGUCUCUUAAUUGACCGCUUGUCGAUUGAGAGUUUCUAGU